GCUUUGUAAACUUUUUUUGCACACAUAAAGUAGGGUGACAUUUUGAGUGAGCAAUUGUCAGCGAGCAAAAUAACCAUAUAUAUUUUUUUAUAUAAACGGGCAGUCCUCAAAUUUUUCGAUAUCUUCUUUUUUAUAAUUUUCUAAAUGUAACCUUUACUUAACUAAGCUAGUCAGUUAAGAACUAAUUCUUAUUUACAAUGACGGCCUACACCGGCCAAACCCGGAUGGCGCUGGGCCAAUUGUGUGCCGCCCUAUGGGACUCCAAAUACCUGUGUGUGUGUGUCUUUCAGAGGGGGUGGGUUAACUCAUAGGGUGAGGUUGUAUUAACAGGACGUAAAUACUCACCCAAGCAAACAUAUUACACAUUUGACAUUAAGACAGCUGCAUGUAAGGAUCAACAAGUAAUAGGUGAAUAGAAACUGCUAUCUGCUUGGUCUUACAUAUACUCUACUCACCAGACAAGCAACCGGAGCCACACUGAAAACAGAACGACAACCCGAAGCUCACAGCCAAGAUAACACAGGAGUGUCUUUGGGACAAGUCUCUGAAUGUCCUUGAGUUGCUCAACCAGAAUCUGGGCUUGAACCUGAUCGAACAUCUCUGGAGAGACCUGAAAAUAGCUGUGCAGCGACGUUCCCCAUCCAACCUGACAGAGCUUGAGAGGAUCUGCAGAGAAAAUUGGAGAAACUCCAAAAUCAGGGAAUGACACGUGAAGAAGAGUUUCAGCGUAAACAUGUAUGUAUAGAUACAUUAAAAAGCAUGAGAUCAUUACGAUCUCAUAGCUACCUUCAUAAAGAAAUCCCGGCAUACCCUGAAAAGGUGGAAUUCCACAUAUCCAAAGUUUCCCAUGUUACUAACAAAGCAGGUCUGGAUGGGAUCCUGUCAAAUGGCUUUAAGGGCGGAAAAAAAGAGGUCCUUUCAUGUGGUGGGGUCUUAACAUUGAGAACAGCAAUAUCAAUGAAGCACAGGAUCGCUACCUUGACAGGGAGAUCCCCGACAGGCACUCCUCAAGUGCACAAACUGGAGGGAGGCAGCGUAAGGUAUCGUUCCUGAAAAAGUUUACCACCUCCCCCGUCUUUAAAGAUGGAUCUCGAUAUGGGAACUACAGGUUUACCUUCGCCUUGGAGGAUCUCAUGCAGAUGUACACAGAGCAGCUCUGUGGAGGAGAGAAGCCGGUCCUGAGAGUUUACCAAACUGUGGUUUACCAGCAGGAGAUCAUGUAUGCAGUGGUUGUCCACAGUCCAGAGGUUAAGGACUUUGACUCAUUCCCACUUCUUGAAGGUGCUGAAGCUAUGUGUAGCUAUAGAGAGGGCACAAUUGUCUGGAACGCACAGGCUGUGUCUGAGACACACAACUAUGAAUUAAUCAGGGAGCACAAUAUGAUGAAAGCCAAAAAGGUUCGCAAAGGCAGGCAUCAGUUUUUUGUGUGGGAUCAUGUGACACUAGCAUUUCACAUGCCUCAUGGCACUGCCCUAUGUGUUGACAGGAAGGACCUAAUUGAAAUCCUCAAAGCAUGUGAUAGUGUUCAACCUUUAUAUAGGAGAGCAGACCCAGUGAUGUCACAUGAAAUAGCAGCAGGCAUUGUUCAAAGGUUAAAAGCUUCAGUGGCCACGCAAGAAACCUAAUCGUACUAUAGUAGCAAUAUAGAGUACUAUAGGAGUACUAUAGAGGACAAUAUAGUACUAUAUUCCCCUUUAUAGACUAUUUGGUGAACUUUCCCCUUUAUAUCACACCAGUUUUUAUUUUUACAGUAAUGUAUCAUGUCAUGUAUUUGAGUAAUUCAAUUUUCUUUGCUACAGUGGUUCCUCCUUUAAAAGUUGUGUCAUCCCUAGUCAGCGCCAUUAUUAGUGCAAUGCCCCUUAAAUAUUUUGGAGAUGGUUUUGUUUUCAAGUAAUGUAAAAUGAGCGAGAAAAAGGACAUUCUUGAACAUGGGGUGAGACAUUGUUACUAAUUUGUAAAUAAAGCCAGUUUGUUAUUUAGAAUUAUUUAUUUCUGUUUUUAGAGGGUGAGAAACCAAAAACCUACAGUCAUCUCAUGGGUGUCCCAGCCGAGGCCGGUACAGACAUUGAACCAGCAUCUGUAGCAACACUCAGGCGCUGUACAACGUAACCGGUCGGGAGAGGCCUACAGUAAGAGCAAAAUAAUCCUAACAAAAUAAAAUAAUAAAAACCUUACUGAAACAACAGUUUUAGUAAGUAAUACUGAAGUCGUGCACAAUUAUCAGUUUCUAUUUAGGUUUAUGUCCAUUCAUUGUCAGUUAGAGACACAGUAGCGCCUUGGGACCCAAAAGCAUAAUCAGUGCUCUAACUCCCCCUUGCGCUGGUCUGGAGCAAUGAAGUAGUGAUGCAGGGUACCAUACUAAACCACAAAUUACCUCUAAGUCCCGUGGUGUAAGCUCACAACUUUUAAAGGAGGAACCACUGUAUUAGGUUGACUGUUUCGUCUCAAAGUAAAUGGUGUAACUGUUGUUGUUAAAUCACUGUUUGAUGGAAAUUAAAGAUUUAUUAGGUCAA